UCCUCUAAUCAACUUUUAAUGUGCUUUUAUUUCAAGUUUGCUUCAGGUUUACUUCUUCAGAAUUCACAAUUUUCUUUCAUAACUUCUCAUAACAAUCCUCUUUUUUUGCAACUCUCUCAAAACAAUCAUCAAAAACUAUCCCGUUUCCACGGUUUCUUUCCUUCAAUUUUUUUUUAUCCUAUCUUGAUUUUUUUCAUAUCACUAAUUUAAAUUAGUCACAGAAUAAUUACAACAAAUUUUCUUUAAAUCUUUCAUUUCAGCUCUUUACCCUUGACAUACCUGAUUGAAAUAAAGUAAAUAGAAACUAUAGAAUUUUGAAUCUCAGAAAUUAUAAUUCCUCACAGAAAAAACUGGAUUGAUACUCAUAAAUUUGAGAAAUAUGAAAAAUUCCUCUCUUCAAUUUAGAUUCUGGAUAUCCCAACUCAUAACUGUUCAAACCAUUAUCGUUUAAAAUAACGAAUGGUCCUUGAAAUGGUAACAUCAAUUUUGCUGUUUGUUGUUUACGUCGAUCAGUUUUUCUUAAUGCUUUUACUAUGACUAAAUCUCCUUUUUUAAAAGUAAUUUGUUUUCUAAUUUUGAAUUUUUGUUUUUUGAUAUAUUUUCUGGCAUUGAUAUAUAUUCGAUUAUUGACCUUACUAAGAAUAUUAUUGUAAUUGAUAAUAUCUGCAAUUUUCCAUGGUCUUUCUGGUUCUAUAUUAUACAUUAAUUUAAUUGGGCUUUGUUCUGUAAUAUUGUUAGGAACAUGAUUGAUAUAAAAUUCAAUAUUUUCUAAUUCAUCUUCCCAUAAAUUCUGUUUAUUGUAACAUGCUAUUCGCAUGAACUUAAUUAUUUCUUGUAUGUAUCGUUCACAUGGAUUACUAUUUGGAUGUCUUAUACUGGUAAAUGAUAAUUCAAUUUUCUCGUGUUGCAUAAAAUUAAUGAAUUUCUUAGAUCUAAAAUAAGUAGCAUUAUCUAAUAUACAUUUUCCAGGUUUUCCCACUAUUUGAAAAUAAUUAAUGAGUUUGCUUUUAAGAACUUUUACAUUAAUACGUUUACAUGAAUAGCAUUUUACAUAUUUAGUGAAAUGGUCUACUAUUACCAACAAAUGUUUAUUACCAUAUCUAGAAAUUACCAAGUCACUUAAAAUAUCCAUAGACACUAUCUGAAGAGAAAAAAUAAGAAUAUCAUCUAUGUAAUGUAUACAAAAUUGAUCAAAUUUGUCUAGUAUACUAUUCAGAGCUUUAACUAAACUAGAACAAGCUGAUUGGAGUCCAAAUGGUACAACCAAGAAUUGAUAAACUUGUCCAUCUAUCAUGAAUCCGGUAUAUUGUUGUGAUUCCUUAUGAAGA